rnacentral:lncRNA from 1 species
UUUUGUUUUGCUUGUUUCCAUUUUUAUCUUUUAUACUCAGUUUUAAUAUGAUGUAUGAUAGAUAUGAUCGUGAAGGAGAGCCAUCGCAAUUAGCUGCUGUUGACAUAUUUGUCAGUACUGUUGAUCCUUUAAAGGAGCCGCCACUUGUUACAGCAAAUACUGUCCUGUCCAUUCUUGCAGUUGACUAUCCUGUUGAUAAGGUAUCUUGUUAUGUUUCUGACGAUGGUGCUGCCAUGCUGACAUUUGAAGCCCUAUCCGAAACGGCGGAGUUUGCAAGGAAAUGGGUUCCUUUCUCUAAAAAGUGUCUGAUGAUGGUGCUGCCAUGUUGACAUUUGAAGCCCUAUCCGAAACGGCUGAGUUUGCAAGGAAAUGGGUUCCAUUCUCUAAAAAGUACGCUAUAGAACCACGAGCUCCAGAGUGGUACUUUUCUCAGAAAGUUGAUUACUUGAAGGAUAAAGUUCAACCAUCAUUUGUAA